rnacentral:rRNA from 1 species
UCCUACGGGAGGCAGCAGUGAGGAAUAUUGGUCAAUGGACGGAAGUCUGAACCAGCCAUGCCGCGUGCAGGAAGACGGCCCUACGGGUUGUAAACUGCUUUUAUGUGAGAAUAACCCUAGUCUUGCGAGAUUAGCUGAAGGUAUCACAUGAAUAAGGAUCGGCUAACUCCGUGCCAGCAGCCGCGGUAAUACGGAGGAUUCGAGCGUUAUCCGGAUUUAUUGGGUUUAAAGGGUGCGUAGGCGGGCUAAUAAGUCAGUGGUGAAAUCACUCAGCUUAACUGAGUAACUGCCAUUGAUACUGUUAGUCUAGAAUAUAAAUGGUGCAGGCGGAAUGAAUCAUGUAGAGGUGACAUUCAUAGAUAUGAUUCAGAACACCGAUCGCGAAGGCAGCUUGCAAAGAUAUUAUUGACGCUGAGGCACGAAAGCGUGGGUAGCGAACAGGAUUAGAUACCCUGGUAGUCCACGCUGUAAACGAUGAUAACUCGUUGUCGGCGAUGCACAGUCGGCGACUAAGGGAAACCGAUAAGUUAUCCACCUGGGGAGUACGAUCGCAAGGUUGAAACUCAAAGGAAUUGACGG